AUUUCAUUCUGUGGUUAAAUAUAUCAUUUGGUAUCUAAGCCUACGGCUAGCGUUUCUUUUCGGCAUCGAGAGCCCUCACCAGAGCAGUUUAGGUCCCAAGAAUCUUACUGAUUGGAGCUAAGACACAUUCCACGAUGUCACUGGGACUGUAUUUCAAGAUCUAGUUAGAUACGUUGCGGUCUACGCUUCCACAUUUUUGCAUGCACCUUACACAGAGUCCACAUAUCUUCUUUAUGUAUCCACGUUUUCCAUAUAGGUUGUGCGAUGGUAGAUUCCUUGCAUAUUGAGAAUGCCUAUUACCUUGAUGGUGAGACAAUUUAGCACCAUCCAGCUGCUUGAGCCCAUGAAAGUUUUCACAGAUUUGGUGAUUUUCCCAGUUGGCAGCAUACUGGAUCAACAUUUUUUGAUGGAGGGUUUUAUAUCAUCUGGAUGUAGUUUGAUGAUCCUACUUGUUUCGGUUUGGCCUACACAUUAAUCCAUGGUUGGGCCGAUAUCGCAUCUUGGUUGUUGUUUCAAGUUGUUGAUCGGGUUCCAACGACAUACAAAUUCUUUAAUCAGCCCAUGGUUUUUCACUUCCAUGCAAAGUAAUUAAGGUUGGGCCCAU